UACAGAGGGUGCGAGCGUUGUCCGGAAUCACUGGGCGUAAAGGGCGCGUAGGUGGCGACCCAAGUCGAUGGUGAAAGCUCGCCGCUCAACGGCGAGUCGGCCACUGAUACUGGGUUGCUGGAGCACUGUAGAGGCAGAUGGAAUUCCGGGUGUAGCGGUGGAAUGCGUAGAGAUCCGGAAGAACACCAGCGGCGAAGGCGGCAUCCUGGACUGGUCCUGACACUCAGGAGCGAAAGCGUGGGGAGCGAUCCGG
rnacentral:rRNA from 1 species